CUGAUACGUCCUCUAUCCGAGGACAAUAUAUUAAAUGGAUUUUUGGAGCUGGGAGUUGGAAUAGGAGCUUGCUCCGUCCACUCCACACAUCGACCUGGUAUUGCAGUACUUCCAGGAACGGUGCAC
rnacentral:snRNA from 1 species